GUGCUAGUCUAAGGUCGUAGGAGGUUAUACAGGCAAAUCCGUAUAACAAUACUCCGAGAACUGAAAGGCUUUUUGAAGUCUUCGGAUGGAUAGAAGAACCCCUGAUGCCGUCGAGCCAAGAAAAGUUUCUAAGUUUAGCUAAUGUUGCCCGUACCGUAAACCGACACAGGUGGGUGGGAUGAGUAUUCUAAGGCGCGUGGAAGAACUCUCUUUAAGGAACUCUGCAAAAUAGCACCGUAUCUUCGGUAUAAGGUGUGGUUAGCUUUGUAUUAGGAUUUACUCCGAAAGCAAGGAAACUUACAACAAAGAGUCCCUCCCGACUGUUUACCAAAAACACAGCACUCUGCUAACUCGUAAGAGGAUGUAUAGGGUGUGACGCCUGCCCGGUGCUCGAAGGUUAAUUGAUGGGGUUAGCAUUAGCGAAGCUCUUGAUCGAAGCCCGAGUAAACGGCGGCCGUAACUAUAACGGUCCUAAGGUAGCGAAAUUCCUUGUCGGUUAAAUACCGACCUGCAUGAAUGGCGUAACGAGAUGGGAGCUGUCUCAAAGAGGGAUCCAGUGAAAUUGUAGUGGAGGUGAAAAUUCCUCCUACCCGCGGCAAGACGGAAAGACCCCGUGGACCUUUACUACAGCUUGACACUGCUACUUGGAUAAGAAUGUGCAGGAUAGGUGGGAGGCUUUGAGUAUAUGACGCCAGUUGUAUAUGAGCCAUUGUUGAGAUACCACUCUUUCUUAUUUGGGUAGCUAACCAGCUUGAGUUAUCCUCAAGUGGGACAAUGUCUGGUGGGUAGUUUGACUGGGGCGGUCGCCUCCCAAAUAAUAACGGAGGCUUACAAAGGUUGGCUCAGAACGGUUGGAAAUCGUUCGUAGAGUAUAAAGGUAUAAGCCAGCUUAACUGCAAGACAUACAAGUCAAGCAGAGACGAAAGUCGGUCUUAGUGAUCCGGUGGUUCUGUGUGGAAGGGCCAUCGCUCAAAGGAUAAAAGGUACCCCGGGGAUAACAGGCUGAUCUCCCCCAAGAGCUCACAUCGACGGGGAGGUUUGGCACCUCGAUGUCGGCUCAUCGCAUCCUGGGGCUGGAGCAGGUCCCAAGGGUAUGGCUGUUCGCCAUUUAAAGCGGUACGCGAGCUGGGUUCAGAACGUCGUGAGACAGUUCGGUCCCUAUCUGCCGUGGGCGUAAGAAGAUUGAAGAGAUUUGACCCUAGUACGAGAGGACCGGGUUGAACAAACCACUGGUGUAGCUGUUGUUCUGCCAAGAGCAUCGCAGCGUAGCUAAGUUUGGAAAGGAUAAACGCUGAAAGCAUCUAAGCGUGAAGCCAACUCUAAGAUGAAUCUUCUCUAAGCUCUCUAGAAGACUACUAGUUUGAUAGGCUGGGUGUGUAAUGGAUGAAAGUCCUUUAGCUGACCAGUACUAAUAGAGCGUUUGGCUUAUCUUU
rnacentral:rRNA from 1 species